AUACGUAGGGGGCGAGCGUUGUCCGGAAUGAUUGGGCGUAAAGGGCGCGUAGGCGGCCUGUUAAGUCUGGAGUGAAAGUCCUGUUUUCAAGAUGGGAAUUGCUUUGGAUACUGAUGGGCUUGAGUGCAGGAGAGGUUAUCGGAAUUCCCGGUGUAACGGUGAAAUGCGUAGAGAUCGGGAGGAACACCAGUGGCGAAGGCGGGUAACUGGACUGCAACUGACGCUGAGGCGCGAAAGUGUGGGGAGCAAACAGGAUUAGAUACCCUGGUAGUCCACACUGUAAACGAUGAAUGCUAGGUGUAAGAGGUAUCGACCCCUUUUGUGCCGGAGUUAACACAAUAAGCAUUCCGCCUGGGGAGUACGGCCGCAAGGUUGAAACUCAAAUGAAUUGACGGGG
rnacentral:rRNA from 1 species